UUCGACCACGUAUGGGGACUUCUUAGUUCUUAGUGAGCUCUCCUUAAAGUGGUUCAGGAUGAGUUUCACUUCUUUUACUCUAACGGUUUAUAGUGUCAUUUUAAAAUGUGUGUCAGGACAACACCGUCACAAAUAUAUCUAGGAAGCGAGAAAAAAGAAUGAGCUUUUAGGCCAGUAUGUGCGGUUAAGUAUGAACUUCUAGGUCACAAAAUAACAUACGGAUUCUAAAUAACAUUUGGAUUCGAAAUAAAAUCUCUGAAACGAUGGUAAUCACCUCGUCCCUAGUAGUCUUGUUUUAUGCAGGCGGGCCACUGGACAUCAUUCGGGUCGUGCGUUCAAUGAUGCAUUUAAUAGGAGCUGUUAUACUGCUUUUUAACAUUUUUAGCAAGACAAUUUUGGCAGAGAGGACGCCAAGAUCAAUUAAAGCCCAAUUAGACUUGUUUGAUGUUGUUCCAGAUGUUAUAAACACGUAUCCUGAAUCGGAAUGUGAGGUAAUCUACAGUUGCAUGAACUGUCCAGAAGAUGGGAGGGUAGUUGACUUCGGGACCGAAAUACAUCCGAUCGAAACACAAGUUGAACCGUCUGUUGAGUGGCCUGCUGAUCCACAUUUGAACUACGCUCUCAUUUUAGUUGAUCCUGAUGUUCCAAGCAAAGAAGUACCGACCAUGCGAGAAUGGCAGCAUUGGCUUGUGGUUAAUAUACCGGGAAUCGACUUCAUGUCUGGGAAAGUAUUAACUGAAUAUCAAGGAGCUGCACCUCCAAAUGGUACAGGUCCUCACCGUUAUGUUUUCUCUGUUUAUCAGCAACCGAGAAAAAAUAUGACAUUUGACGAGCCUAAAAUAGAAAAGAGGUCUGAUAAAAACCGCUCAAUGUUUUCGACAAGGAGGUUCGCUGACGAGUACAAAUUAGGAGAUCCCAUCGCUGUAAACUUCUUCAUGUCCGAAUACAACUACCCGCCCAGAAAACCCGGAGAAUAGGGUUAAUAGAUCGUCCUUCUGGUCAAUCUAUUACAUUGACGUGAUAACGAGAUAAACUUUAUGCUUCCUUGAACUGGUUCAGAACUGGAUUGGAUUAGUUUAUCAUUUUAAAAAAAAGAAGAAAAAAAAAUCAACCUAAUUUUGAACAUCACGACUUGCAGAAUAUCGAUGGCAAAAUGAGAAAAACGUCUUCAUUGCAACGUUCAGUCAACAAUCAAGUUUCAGAUCGCCGAUUAUGUUUUUCUUUCUAAUCUCAAAGAAGACUAACAAAACUUUUCCUUGCAAUUCUGUGUGACAUUUUUAAAAUGGGUGAGAGAGAACUUUCAUUAAAAAGUGUUGGUUUGUUUUCUAUUAAACAAAACAAAACAACAACAAAAAAAAACCCCUGAGCGGAGACUUGCGACGUCGAAAUUUGAGUUUCACUUUAUCAGAUUUCAGCUGUCGAUAUUUUAUAAGAAAUAAGAGCAAAUAAUUUCCCAUCGAACUAAUUCGGAGUUUUAUAAUGUUGUGGAAGUUGUCAAGCCUAAUUUUAGUCUCAUAAUUUUGGUUCUGCACAUUUAUCGUCGUGCAAAAAAGGUUCGCCUGGGCUUGCCUCAUUUCACCCUGCACGGAAAAAAAAGUGUCAGGGGUUAUCCCCUAAAAUUGGGGUACUACCCCAAUUUGUUGGAUGAUAUCGACAUUUCUAAUUAAUUGUAUUAGUGCCGCAACUCAAGUUAAGGUAGUACCGCAAAGAGGGAGUUUUUCUAUUCUUCCAUUCCGUCGUCCUCAAAAAAAAGGAGCUUUUGUAUUUCUUUGGAUGAAGUAUCACUGUGGUGAAUGUAGACGAAUCUCUAAAUUUUAAUGAAGAUUUCAAAGCAAGGAUGAAUAUGUUACUUCAAAGCUUAAAAUGUUGAUAUCUCUAAUUAUAUCUUGGUUUUCCCAAAUUUGUAUCUUUGCACAACGCCUACUUUUCUUUCUUGCUUAUAGAAACAUUUUUCAUGAAGAAA